ACCGGCAGCUCAAGUGGUGGCCAUUAUUAUUGGGCCUAAAGCGUUCGUAGCCGGUUUGAUAAGUCUCUGGUGAAAUCCCGCAGCUUAACUGUGGGACUUGCUGGAGAUACUAUCAGACUUGAGGUCGGGAGAGGUUAGGGGUACUCCCAGCGGGGGGGGCUGGCAGCCGAGGCGAGCGGGGGGGUGAGAAAGGAAAGGGGGGGCGGAGAACCGGAUGACGCCCGAGGGGUUGGGUUGGUGCUCGGUUGAGUUAGG
rnacentral:rRNA from 1 species